AAUUUAAAUACGGGUUUCCAGAUACAAAUUUAACGUGAUGGUGAGCGGGAUGUUACAUUCCCACCACCUUAAAAAAUUUGGUCCCCCAAAUUUUUUUCGAAUAAGUCUGGGAACUUUUCUCUCAUCUCACUCUCUAACUCCCAUGUCACCUCUUCUGGAGUGUGGUGUUGCCACUGCACCUUCACCAUGGGGACCCUCUUGUUGUAUAAGAUUUUUUCGGUCCAAUUAAGAAUUUUUCCGAGGAGUUUUUCGUACGUCAUUUUAGUUUGUACACACGUUUCAUCAUGAGUAAUGAUAUGAUAAGGGUCAGGGUGGUACCUUUUGAGCAUAGAGACGUGAAAAAUAUCAUAUAGACUCGUAAACUCUUGAGGCAGAGUAAGGUGGUAUGCCAUGGGUCCAAUACACUCCACGAUCCAAAAAGGUCCCAAUAAUGGGGCUCAACUUCCCUUUUUUCCCGGACAACAUGUUUCCCUUGUAGAGGAAAAUCUUAAUGAAGACUUGGUCUCCAACAACGAAUUCCAGAAGUCUUCUUUUAUUAUCAAUGUAACUCUUCUGGCAACUCUGGGUGGUAGCCAAGUUUCUAUAGAUGAUUGCAAUAUUCUCAAUAGUCUCUUGGAUG
rnacentral:lncRNA from 1 species